AUCUAUGUAGUGUAAAUAACACAUUACUUUUUCAUAGUAAAGAUUACAGAUUCUGUCCUUAAAUA
rnacentral:tRNA from 1 species